rnacentral:rRNA from 1 species
CACGUAGGGCGCAAGCGUUGUCCGGAAUUAUUGGGCGUAAAGAGCUCGUAGGCGGUCUGUUGCGUCCGCUGUGAAAACUCGGGGCUUAACCCCGAGCCUGCAGUGGAUACGGGCAGACUAGAGGUAGGUAGGGGAGAAUGGAAUUCCCGGUGUAGCGGUGAAAUGCGCAGAUAUCAGGAGGAACACCAGCGGCGAAGGCGGCGCUCUGGGCCGGAACUGACGCUGAGGAGCGAAAGCGUGGGUAGCAAACAGG